ACAUGUCAGUUUCAUCGACUCAAAACAAAUCAAUUAUACACCAGGCAGGAUUCCAGGGGAUAUACUAGUGAAUGAAGUGAAGUUCCUGACCCCAAGAAGCUUGCUGCCCCAGCAGUCAAGGCAGCAUAAAGUGAGAGAGAUGGAAAUCAUUUGCAGGCCACAUUUUGCCAACAGCUGAAAAAUUCAACACGACAUGACUUGCACGUCGAAGCUGCUAGUGUUCAAAACCUGAUUUCCGUGCCAGACCUGCAUUACAGUAAGAAGGCUCUCCCUGUCAUCUACCAGGAACAGCCCUCUCCUCCCCGACAGUCAUUUCUCCCAGUAAACCCACUGCGUGUCCAAGCUCAUCCCCCGGCAUCUGCUACCUAGAGGAUCCACACUGACAUCGUUUCUAAUCCCAAUCAUUUUAUUUUACUUCUUUAUAGAAGGACUAUAUUAUUAGUUCAUUUUACCUUUGUCUUUCUGAACCUAAAAACACAGAAAAGAAAAAAA